GUACAGCGGGGAGCCCUCUGCCAUCUCCAGCUGCUGCAGGGCCCCAUUCUCCCCGUCCAAGUAGAAGAAAUAGGAGCCGGUUUCGAAAAGGAGCUGCUGAAACCCUAUCCAACUUUUAGCUGUCGCGGUGCAUCACCCUCCAAAACUGAUUCCAGCCAGUCUCCUGGGCGCUGUCCUGAGAACAUCUCCUAUUUAGAAGGCUGGGAAGGAGGGGGAACAUGGGGAGGGAGGCAAAGAGAAGAAAAAAAGGAAAACAAACGACGAAGAAAAAUGCCCCCCAAAGGCCUGUGAACUUGGGACGAGGAGUUUCUUCACUGCUGCUCUGGAGGUGUUUGGAACGAGACAGAGAUUAGAUCAAUUUACAGAAAUGGAAACUUCAGAAGAAGUGUUCAUAAAAUGCCCUCUUGGAGAGUUUUAACUUGACUAAAGGAGUUAGGAAAGUAGAAAUUGAGGAGCCAGAUACUCCUUCAACUGUCAACAGAUUGAUUUUUUUGCUUUAAGCAGGAAACAAAAAGUUCUUUCUUUCCAGACUGAUUCAUUAAGAGCUGGAGUAAACACACCUAGUUCCUCAAAGUAACGUGGGGACAACAAAGGUAGCCCUUUAUUGAGCAAAAUUCUUCUCAGUUGUAACUGAAUUUUAGUUUGAGUGAAAUUGGCCAUUUCCCUAUCAUGUAAGCAACUUUGAUUUUGCUUUAGCCAUUGCGUUUCAUCCCCUAUUCUAGCUCCUUGGUCAACAUAACAGCUAGCAAGCAACUGUAGCCUAUAUGAACAAAGUACCCUUAAUAACUUUCACCAUUAAAAAAGCAUUACAAAUAGAGGAGUCAGAAAUUGAUGCUUGUCUUUGUUCUCUCACACCUUGCAUCUGUAUCGGAAGUAAAAGAUAUGAACAAGAAAAACUGGGCAUGGCACUGGAAUGGGGAUCUCUGAGGAAGUCCAUCUGUAAGUUAGCCAACUGGGUAGCUCUUCACAGGAAAACUUGCUCUCAUUCUGUGAAGACUGUAUGUUACCCAGUUGUUACUCCUUCCACCAGAAAGCUGUGGUACUUUCAGUACAUUUGCAAACACACAGAAACAGAUGAGAUGUACUGUAUUUUGCUGAUUUAUGAGAUCUGUUAACGCUACCAAGGAAAUACUAAGUCAAGAUGACCCCAAAUCCAAGAAACAUAGAUUGCAUUUUCUGUCACGGCUGAUCUCUAGGACCUCAGUCGUUCUUUCCUCCAAAUGAAUUCCAGAUUUUUUUACAUAAUUGUGAUGAGCUGAUAAUGCCAAGGUCAUUCUUGACAUCUUAUGACUUGAGCAGAAAUCUAAUCUAGAAUUACAGAUAAAUAUUUUGUUAUUUUGGACCCCAGGGCCCUGCAUGCCACUGCAAAUAUCCCCUUCUUCACUCUUUUUUUUCUGUCCUGCUCUCAGUGAUUUCCCAUUCACACAGAAGAUCUUAUCACCUGAGUUUGGCAGUGUAUUCAUGUAAAGCUAGGUGACCUAUCUGGGGAUGUAUGCUAAUAUCCACGUUUAGUUUUUUUUUGUUUUUUUUG